CCUACGAGUGGCAGCAGUCGAGAAUCAUUCACAAUGGGGGAAACCCUGAUGGUGCGACGCCGCGUGGGGGAAUGAAGGUCUUCGGAUUGUAAACCCCUGGCAUGUGGGAGCAAAUUAAAAAGAUAGUACCAAAAGAGGAAGAGACGGCUAACCCUGUGCAAGCAGCCGAGGUAAUAAAGAGGUAUCAAGCGUUGUUCGGAAUCACUGGGCGUAAAGCGUGCGUAGACUGUUGCGUAAGUCGUGUGGGAAAGGAGCGGGCCCAACCCGCGGACGGCACAUGAUACUGCGAGACUAGAGUAAUGGAGGGGGAACCGGAAUUCUCGGUGUAGCAGUGAAAUGCGGAGAUAUCGAGAGGAACACUCGUGGCGAAGGCGGGUUCCUGGACAUUAACUGACGCUGAGGCACGAAGGCCAGGGGAGCGAAAGGGAUUAGAUACCCGGGUAGUC
rnacentral:rRNA from 1 species